GUUUUUUUCAUUCUUUUUAUUGUUUUUACAUUCUGUCUACAUGUCUGCUUAUUCAUAUUAAUACAGUAGCAUCUGUGCAUAAUACAAAUAAAUAAUAAAAUACAUAUACCUAUAUUGGAAGUUUAUGCUCAGACGUUUUUAUUGACAAAGGUAUCUGAGCAAAAAUGUCCAGAGACCAUAACUUUUGGCAUCAGAAAAUUUUUUCAUAUAAUUAACAAACUGUGUACUAUUUUCUUUUUUUGUAUUGGGGUAUAGUCAGUUUACAAUGUUGUGUCAAACUGUACUUUUAAUGGCUGUUCAUGGGGUAGCAGCUACAGCUAUAUCCCUUCCUACACUAUGAGGCUUUGUUGAUUCAUACCUUUCAAGAUUUCAAACUUUGUGACAAAAAUAAAAAUAGUCUCCCACAAUAUUGUUUAUAAGCUCCUGACAACACAGUACACACACACACACACACACACACAGACAACACACAUAUACAUGUGAUAAAAGCUUUGCCAGGUAUACCAAGCACCGGGGUAGUUUUGAAUUUACAAUUUGCAGGAAAAAGUUUAAGAUCAAGGGAGAGAAUGACAGAAAAAAUGUUUUCAUUGAAUACAGUAUCCUCAGACUCCUUUCACUCUGUGCCUUUGUUCAAGCUCUCAAGUCAUAACAUUUCUGUGAGAGGAAGUACAAUGUUAUAUUUAAUUUCAUUGUCUUCCUUGAUUCAUAACCAGCAUAAUAAAAAUAAGACGAAUAAUGUCAAUAUUUUAAAAAUGAUUGUGUUCUUUCUCUGUGCUUUUGGGUGGAAAUGAGACAGCAAGUGUUUGUGAGAUGGGAAGAGCGU